AGCUCUGUAAGCGUAUACCAAAGUUGUUGCAGUUAAAACGCUCGUAGUCGGACGUUGGUGGGCGUGUCAGGUCGACCUCGCGGUUGUUCUUGGCACGAACGCCUUUGUGGAGGGGGGCUUCGUGGUGCUUCAUUGCCAUCGCGUUUAGUCGCUGCCACCGUUUACUGUGAAAAAAUUAGAGUGUUCAAAGCAGGCUUUUCAAGCCCGGAUACAUGAGCAUGGAAUAAUGGAAUAGGACCGCGGUUCUAUUUUGUUGGUUUCUACGACCGCAGUAAUGAUUAAGAGGGACAAUUGGGGGCGUCCGUAUUUCGUUGUCAGAGGUGAAAUUCUUGGAUUUACGAAAGACGAACAACUGCGAAAGCAUUCGCCAAGAGUGUUUUCAUUAAUCAAGAACGAAAGU
rnacentral:rRNA from 1 species